AUGUAUGAUUAUUCACAACACUCAAAAUGGAAGUAUCAUGUUUUCUUGAGUUUUAGGGGAGAAGACAUGCGCUUAGGUUUCACUGGUCACCUAUAUGCAGCUUUGGUGUGCAAGAGUAUAAUUACUUUUAGAGAUGAUGAAAAACUUGGAACAGAUGAAGUAAUCUCACAAAAGCUAGUCCAUGCCACAAUUGGCAUAAUCUCCAAAAACUAUAACGAUGGACUGGUUGCAAAUGAUGCAAGAUGGGAUGACAACAAAGUAGCUUUAUGUAAACUCUGUUAA